rnacentral:rRNA from 1 species
CAGUCGCCGCGGUAAUACGGAGGGAGCUAGCGUUGUUCGGAAUUACUGGGCGUAAAGCGCGCGUAGGCGGUUACUCAAGUCAGAGGUGAAAGCCCGGGGCUCAACCCCGGAACUGCCUUUGAAACUAGGUGACUAGAAUCUUGGAGAGGUCAGUGGAAUUCCGAGUGUAGAGGUGGAAUUCGUAGAUAUUCGGAAGAACACCAGUGGCGAAGGCGACUGACUGGACAAGUAUUGACGCUGAGGUGCGAAAGCGUGGGGAGCAAACAGGAUUAGAUACCCCGGUAGUCCCUGUCUCUUAUAC